AUUGAACGCUGGCGGCAGGCCUAACACAUGCAAGUCGAGCGGAAGAAGGGAGCUUGCUCCUGGAUUCAGCGGCGGACGGGUGAGUAAUGCCUAGGAAUCUGCCUGGUAGUGGGGGAUAACGUCGGGAAACGGGCGCUAAUACCGCAUACGUCCUGAGGGAGAAAGUGGGGGAUCUUCGGACCUCACGCUAUCAGAUGAGCCUAGGUCGGAUUAGCUAGUUGGUGGGGUAAAGGCCUACCAAGGCGACGAUCCGUAACUGGUCUGAGAGGAUGAUCAGUCACACUGGAACUGAGACACGGUCCAGACUCCUACGGGAGGCAGCAGUGGGGAAUAUUGGACAAUGGGCGAAAGCCUGAUCCAGCCAUGCCGCGUGUGUGAAGAAGGUCUUCGGAUUGUAAAGCGCUUUAAGUUGGGAGGAAGGGCAGUAAGUUAAUACCUUGCUGGUUUGACGGUACCAACAGAAUAAGCACCGGCUAACUUCGUG
rnacentral:rRNA from 1 species